GAAAGCAGAGUUAGCCUGUGUAUCUAUUGUGCAAAUACUUAAUUUGCUCUGAAUAAACUGCCAUAGAAGAGGUUUGUAGCGGGAUCCACAGUAGCUCACAUGCAGCUGUACAAAUCAAGCCCGAGGACACUUGAACAUAUGUGGACAAGCUUUGCAGGAGAUCACUGCUGAGACCAUGAGCAGUGUUGUCAUGCACCAGUGAUGUUCAGAUGGACACCAACUUAGUCACAGCCUCACAGAUACUUGCAGAAAAUCUCCAGCGCUGCUGGGAACAUGCCCCAGGCAGGUCAGGAGGAGCGUUCAUGGCAAAGGAGUCCCUUUCCUUUAGUGUCAGCUCUGCCCUUACAAACCCUGGCUACCAGCAGAACUGCUUUCUAUUGACCAGCCAGGGCCUGUGCUCCAGAGGUAAGAUACUCACAUGCUAGGACACCCUUUUCUGCGUGAUCCUGGUUACAUAUGGGACAGAAAGGUCAGUUGUUAAAAACACAGAUGCUCACCACAUGAUUUGCUGUGACCGCAGCCAUCGCCAUGGCUCCUCACUGCUCCUCUGAGCAUGCAGCUGUUAACAUCUGGCAUGGAUUUUGAGUAUCUCCUUGGUAAUGCAGAUUGGCAUUUCCCAGGACACGACAUCUAACAUUUGCUUCUUGUAAUCAGGCGGGACUGCUCUUGCAGAACAUGGAGGCUGCAAGCCACAUGCUACUUAUUUCAGAGACUCAAAGGACAGGGAAGCGCUCGCAGAUGGGAGGUGACAGUGGCUUCCCAAUGUACUUUUGUGGAUGCAUUGCAAUGAAUAUGCUGGGCUCAGUAGUUCUUCCUAAUUUCUCCUGCAAAGGGGAAAUCAUGGUGCCAACAGCACUAGUACAGUGUCACUGCCAGUCAUAUGGUGCAGCCCCACCACAGGGGCCAUGGAGCAACAAUUCAAGAGUUAUGCACAGCUUACAAUCUGCAGAGAUCCUUGUUACUUCUGGCUGUUCUCUGCUUCUCUGUUAGCUCUAGAUCUAGAAAUCUCACUCUAUUACAACCCUUUCUACUGCAGCUGAUUGUCCUAUGAGGAGCACACUCCACCUUCCUCUAGGCAUGAGGCUAGAGGCCUGCAUGGGAUUUCAAAAUACCCUGUAGCUCAUGAAUACAAAACUACUGUAAAUGAUCUGUGGAAACGCAAGCAUGAAAAGUAAUGUCUUAUCCAGAUGCAAUACAUCGCGUAGGCGCAUGAAGAUACCUUUGUAAAGGGGUACCCCAACGCAUGAACCCCUCCUCCUUGCAAACAUUCAGGCACAGCUACGACUUGAUGGUUGGCUGCCCUCGCAAAACCUCCUGUUGGUGCAACGUCUGAUGUGCCAGCAGCUCCUGCUUCCCAGCGGUUUGCUGCCCGGGCUUCCCCGCACAGCAGCUGCUUCUGCUCACACACAGCUUUUAGGACUCUUGUUGAACCGUGUCUCCUCUGAUCGCAAGAUCUAUUUCCUCCUCCUGUUUGCUUGGCACCGUGGCGUCUGCCGGUGGGGUGCAGAGUGGGGUGACCAUGCCCUCCCCCCGCCUUGCUGAGCUGGGGAGCUGGAGAGGGAUACCUGAGGUUCUCGGGGGACUGCAAUGUAAGUCCAACAUGGGCUCACUACCAGCUCAGAAAACAGGCAGAAUGGAUGAUGAAGUGAAGAGAUGCUCAUCUUUCACUCCUCGCUAAAGGAAUGCCAAUUUGUCCCCGGUGGAGCCAGCGGUGUCUGCCAACUUCCUGCUCGGCACAGGAGUAGCUGGAGGGCUGAGAUGGAUGUGUCGGUAAUGCAAUGUAUGGACUGUUUGUUGGGAGAACUCAAAUGAAACCAGGAAGUGUGAUCAAGA